rfam:Trichobilharzia regenti genome assembly, scaffold: TRE_scaffold0052899
GUACUGCUGAAGAGUCCCAAAGUAGGACGAAAUAGCUGUCCACUAC